rnacentral:rRNA from 26 species
CAGACCUCUAAUCGGAAAAGACUACCCGCUGAGUUUAAGCAUAUCAAUAAGCGGAGGA